CCGGUAAAAUAAGAGGGUCAGCCUGCCCAGUGACAAAUGUUCAACGGCCGCGGUAUCCUAACCGUGCGAAGGUAGCGUAAUCACUUGUUCUUUAAAUGAGGACUAGUAUGAAUGGCACCACGAGGGUUGCACUGUCUCCUUUCCCUAAUCAAUGAAACUAAUCUCCCCGUGAAGAAGCGGGGGUACUAAUAUAAGACGAGAAGACCCUAUGGAGCUUUAAAUUUCUCUUCAAACGCCAGACACAAACAUCUGACACUUUACAUUAACCCGACGCCUUGAAGAUGAAUUUUAGGUUGGGGUGACCAUGGAGAACAAAAUAACCUCCACGCUGAAAAGGCCUCCAAGCCUUGAGCCGAGGGCUACAACCCAACGCACUAAAAAAUUAACACCCAUUGACCCAAUAUUUUUGAUCAACGAACCAAGUUACCCUAGGGAUAACAGCGCAAUCUACUUCAAGAGUCCCUAUCGACAAGUGGGUUUACGACCUCGAUGUUGGAUCAGGGUAUCCCAGUGGUGCAGCCGCUACUAAAGGUUCGUUUGUUCAACGAUUAAAACCCUACGUGAUCUGAUUCCAGACCAGA
rnacentral:rRNA from 1 species